UUACCAGCACAUAGCUGCCUGUGACGAGGGACACAGGACUGCAGAGAAGACCAUUCAUCAGACUGUUACAUCAUCAGGACACAACACAGGUGACAGCAGCGUGACAGCCUGGGGAGGAUACUACUGAUGAAUCAACUGGGAAAUUAAGGAAACAGACUAAGAAAAAAAGCCGUCUUCAGACGUCUGUUGUCUUUCAUAAUUGCCUACAGGAGGAUCUAGAGCAGGUGUUCAGUACCUGAAAAUCUACGGGUGAGAGGAGAGUCGCGUGUGAAGCAGGGGACGUGGUGCACGGGAUCAGGCUGCUACUGACUCGGGAAGUGCUGUACUUAGGAGGCAAGCGUGGACUUAACUGCACGGAGCUAGGCUGCGAAACAAGACCAAAGAAAGCCGGCGCUCAACCUCCAGGGCUCUUUCCUCACAACUUACCUUGUUGUCUGUUUAAAAGAACCAUCAGUGUUCCCUCGCGUCAUA